rnacentral:lncRNA from 1 species
CUAAUCUUGCUUUGUCUCUAAUUAAUUAAAGGGGUGUUUGGGAGGGGGUUAAACUUUAGCCCUCCCAUUCUAACAAGAUUUUAGCCCUUUCUCCAAACACCAGGGCUAAAAUGGAGGGCCUAAACUUUAGCCCCCCAAAAUCUAUUAGCCCCUAAAAUGGACUAAAGGGGGUUAAAAGUGGUCCCCUUAUCCAAUUUUCC